rnacentral:miRNA from 1 species
UGCCGCUGGCCCUGCAGUUCCUGAA